UUAAGUUAUUAAGGGCGCACGGUGGAUGCCUUGGCACUAGAAGCCGAUGAAGGACGUUACUAACGACGAUAUGCUUUGGGGAGCUGUAAGUAAGCUUUGAUCCAGAGAUUUCCGAAUGGGGAAACCCAGCAUGAGUUAUGUCAUGUUAUCGAUAUGUGAAUACAUAGCAUAUCAGAAGGCACACCCGGAGAACUGAAACAUCUUAGUACCCGGAGGAAGAGAAAGAAAAUUCGAUUCCCUUAGUAGCGGCGAGCGAAACGGGAAGAGCCCAAACCAACAAGCUUGCUUGUUGGGGUUGUAGGACACUCUGUACGGAGUUACAAAGGACGACAUUAGACGAAUCAUCUGGAAAGAUGAAUCAAAGAAGGUAAUAAUCCUGUAGUCGAAAAUGUUGUCUCUCUUGAGUGGAUCCUGAGUACGACGGAGCACGUGAAAUUCCGUCGGAAUCUGGGAGGACCAUCUCCUAAGGCUAAAUACUCUCUAGUGACCGAUAGUGAACCAGUACCGUGAGGGAAAGGUGAAAAGCACCCCGGAAGGGGAGUGAAAUAGAACCUGAAACCGUGUGCUUACAAGUAGUCAGAGCCCGUUAAUGGGUGAUGGCGUGCCUUUUGUAGAAUGAACCGGCGAGUUACGAUUUGAUGCAAGGUUAAGCAGUAAAUGUGGAGCCGUAGCGAAAGCGAGUCUGAAUAGGGCGUUUAGUAUUUGGUCGUAGACCCGAAACCAGGUGAUCUACCCUUGGUCAGGUUGAAGUUCAGGUAACACUGAAUGGAGGACCGAACCGACUUACGUUGAAAAGUGAGCGGAUGAACUGAGGGUAGCGGAGAAAUUCCAAUCGAACCUGGAGAUAGCUGGUUCUCUCCGAAAUAGCUUUAGGGCUAGCCUCAAGUGAUGAUUAUUGGAGGUAGAGCACUGUUUGGACGAGGGGCCCCUCUCGGGUUACCGAAUUCAGACAAACUCCGAAUGCCAAUUAAUUUAACUUGGGAGUCAGAACAUGGGUGAUAAGGUCCGUGUUCGAAAGGGAAACAGCCCAGACCACCAGCUAAGGUCCCAAAAUAUAUGUUAAGUGGAAAAGGAUGUGGCGUUGCCCAGACAACUAGGAUGUUGGCUUAGAAGCAGCCAUCAUUUAAAGAGUGCGUAAUAGCUCACUAGUCGAGUGACACUGCGCCGAAAAUGUACCGGGGCUAAACAUAUUACCGAAGCUGUGGAUUGUCCUUUGGACAAUGGUAGGAGAGCGUUCUAAGGGCGUUGAAGCAUGAUCGUAAGGACAUGUGGAGCGCUUAGAAGUGAGAAUGCCGGUGUGAGUAGCGAAAGACGGGUGAGAAUCCCGUCCACCGAUUGACUAAGGUUUCCAGAGGAAGGCUCGUCCGCUCUGGGUUAGUCGGGUCCUAAGCUGAGGCCGACAGGCGUAGGCGAUGGAUAACAGGUUGAUAUUCCUGUACCACCUAUAAUCGUUUUAAUCGAUGGGGGACGCAGUAGGAUAGGCGAAGCGUGCGAUUGGAUUGCACGUCUAAGCAGUAAGGCUGAGUAUUAGGCAAAUCCGGUACUCGUUAAGGCUGAGCUGUGAUGGGGAGAAGACAUUGUGUCUUCGAGUCGUUGAUUUCACACUGCCGAGAAAAGCCUCUAGAUAGAAAAUAGGUGCCCGUACCGCAAACCGACACAGGUAGUCAAGAUGAGAAUUCUAAGGUGAGCGAGCGAACUCUCGUUAAGGAACUCGGCAAAAUGACCCCGUAACUUCGGGAGAAGGGGUGCUCUUUAGGGUUAACGCCCAGAAGAGCCGCAGUGAAUAGGCCCAAGCGACUGUUUAUCAAAAACACAGGUCUCUGCUAAACCGUAAGGUGAUGUAUAGGGGCUGACGCCUGCCCGGUGCUGGAAGGUUAAGAGGAGUGGUUAGCUUCUGCGAAGCUACGAAUCGAAGCCCCAGUAAACGGCGGCCGUAACUAUAACGGUCCUAAGGUAGCGAAAUUCCUUGUCGGGUAAGUUCCGACCCGCACGAAAGGCGUAACGAUUUGGGCACUGUCUCAACGAGAGACUCGGUGAAAUCAUAGUACCUGUGAAGAUGCAGGUUACCCGCGACAGGACGGAAAGACCCCGUGGAGCUUUACUGUAGCCUGAUAUUGAAAUUCGGCACAGCUUGUACAGGAUAGGUAGGAGCCUUUGAAACGUGAGCGCUAGCUUACGUGGAGGCGCUGGUGGGAUACUACCCUAGCUGUGUUGGCUUUCUAACCCGCACCACUUAUCGUGGUGGGAGACAGUGUCAGGCGGGCAGUUUGACUGGGGCGGUCGCCUCCUAAAAGGUAACGGAGGCGCUCAAAGGUUCCCUCAGAAUGGUUGGAAAUCAUUCAUAGAGUGUAAAGGCAUAAGGGAGCUUGACUGCGAGACCUACAAGUCGAGCAGGGUCGAAAGACGGACUUAGUGAUCCGGUGGUUCCGCAUGGAAGGGCCAUCGCUCAACGGAUAAAAGCUACCCCGGGGAUAACAGGCUUAUCUCCCCCAAGAGUUCACAUCGACGGGGAGGUUUGGCACCUCGAUGUCGGCUCAUCGCAUCCUGGGGCUGUAGUCGGUCCCAAGGGUUGGGCUGUUCGCCCAUUAAAGCGGUACGCGAGCUGGGUUCAGAACGUCGUGAGACAGUUCGGUCCCUAUCCGUCGUGGGCGUAGGAAAUUUGAGAGGAGCUGUCCUUAGUACGAGAGGACCGGGAUGGACAUACCUCUGGUGUACCAGUUGUCGUGCCAACGGCAUAGCUGGGUAGCUAUGUGUGGACGGGAUAAGUGCUGAAAGCAUCUAAGCAUGAAGCCCCCCUCAAGAUGAGAUUUCCCAACUUCGGUUAUAAGAUCCCUCAAAGAUGAUGAGGUUAAUAGGUUCGAGGUGGAAGCAUGGUGACAUGUGGAGCUGACGAAUACUAAUCGAUCGAAGACUUAAUCAA
rnacentral:rRNA from 1 species